rnacentral:misc_RNA from 1 species
AAGUCGUAACAAGGUUUCCGUAGGUGAACCUGCGGAAGGAUCAUUAAUGAAUUUAAUUAACCCUGUGGAUUGGAAAAUGAAAAAAAAGCAAGAAUUUAUUUUUUUGAUUUUAGUUCUUUCUAUUCACCUGUGUUAUUUUUCCAUUUACCGUGAACUGUAUUAUGCAUGACGCUUGAGGGAUGAUUUCUGGUUAUAAUGGACAGACCAGAAAAAUUGUUUAAGCCGAGUCAUGAUCAGAUCUUAUGAUCUGGUGUCCUAAUAUUAAAUUACCCAAAAAUGUAUUCAUUUUAAAUAAAAUUUUUGAAUAUGGCUUAAAAAAUCCAUUAAAAACCAA